rnacentral:rRNA from 1 species
GCCCCUACAUGAGGCUGGGUGUUGGCGAUUACGGUCAUCGCCUGCGGGAAACAUUAAGCCCCCCACCUGGGGAGUACGGCCGCAAGGCUGAAACUCAAAGGAAUUGACGGGGGCCCGCACAAUCGGAGGAACAUGUGGUUUAAUUCAAUGGUACGCGAGGAACCUUACCUGGGCUAGAAGGCUUCUGGGAUGCUGCGGAAACAUACCAUCCCCCAACGGCCGGGAGCGAGGAGCUGCAUGGUUGUCGCUCCCCUCCGCCGUGAGGGGUCGGGUUAAGUCCCAUAACAAGCGCCACCCCUACGUCCAGUUGUCUCCGGGUAGAACCGGGCACUCUGGAUGGACAACCGGCGUAAACCGCGAGGAGGGGGGGGAUGACGUCAAAUCAACACGGUCCUUACGUCCAGGGCUCCACACGUGUUACAAAUGGCCGGGGCAGCGGGAGGCCACCCCGGGAGGGGGAGAGGAUCCCCAAAGCCGGCCCUACUUCGGAUCGGAGGCUGGAACCCCACCUCCUUGAAGCUGGAUUCCCUUAGUAAUCUUGCAUCAACCCCGGCGCGGUGAAUACUUUCCCGGGCCUUGUACCCCCCCCCCCUCCAGUCAUGUGGAGCCGGGGGGACCUGAAAUGCUUUGACCCCUAGGCCGCCCCCAGGGGUAACCCCGUUCACUGGGGCCUAACUC